rnacentral:lncRNA from 1 species
GUGCUAUGUGCUUUGUGAUUGAAUAUAAAUUCAUUUCUUGAGUUUCAGAUUACCAACGCAGUAUAACAAAUGAUUGAUUUCUGUAACUGCUGCACUUUGAAGUCUUCUGUAAGGUUACUUAGGUCCUGCGGAGAAUUUAAAUGAUAACCUGAUAAUUCUGAGUGCUGAAGAGUCGCCCAGAUCUCAAAUACGAGCGUGCAAGAUAGGAGGCAGUGUUGAAUAUCCUCUUUAGUCUGCUGACAUAAUACACAAACUUCCUCUUACUUCUGGAGCAAAUCCCUAUCUUGCAGUAUAGCAU